rnacentral:lncRNA from 1 species
AACAUAAGAAAUCAAAAUAUUACAUUAAACAUUUAUAGGUAAAUAUACAAUAUAAGGAAAAAUAAAUGAAAAGUAAAUAUACAUUAUAAGAAAUAGAAAUAUUACAUUAAACAUCUAUAAUAAUUUAUCAUCUAAUAUAAAAGCAAGAAAAUUAGAAUAAGUAAAUAUAUAUUAAAAAAAUAAAAAAAUUAUAUUAAACAUCUAUCUGAAAAAUGUAUCUAUCUAUACUAAUAAAAUAGAGCUUUUGAGGCUCAACCGAAAAAAAAAUAUUUUGUGAAAGAUGACACGUGUCAUUAGUAAAAAAUAAAAAAUAAAUAUACAUAUAAAGAAAAAUAAAUAAUAAGUAAAUAUACAAUAUAAAAAAUAAAAUUAUUACAUUAAACAAUAAUAAGUGAGGCUCCAUAGGGCGUCGACAUCAGCGGUAAAAAUGUUUUCUAAAUAAUAACACGUGGCAUUAACAAAAAAAUAAAAAAUAAAUAUACAUAUAAAGAAAAAUAAAUAAUAAGUAAAUAUGCAAUAUAAGAAAUAGAAAUAUUAUAUUAAAAAAUAAUAAGUAAAUAUACAAUAUAAGAAAAAAAAGUGAAAAGUAAAUAUACAUUAUAAGAAAUAGAAAUAUUGCAUUAAACAUCUAUCAUAAUUUAUCUUCUGAUAUAAAGCAAGAAAAUUAGAAUAAGUAAAUAUAUAAUUAAAAUAUUAGAUUACACAUUUAUUAUAAUAUUAAAAUAACUAAAUAUAAAAUAUACGAAUCUAUACUAACAAAAAUGAGCUUUUGAGGCUCCAUAGAGAGUCCACAUUAGCAAAAAAAAACUUUUUCUAAAAGAUGACACUUGACAUUAAUAAAAAUAUAUAUACGUAUAAAGAAAAAGAAAUAAUUAGUAAAUAUACAAUAUAAGGAAAAAUAAAUUAAAAAAUACAAUAUAAGAAAUAGAAAUAUUACAUUAAAUAUCUAUCAUCAUUUAUCAUUUGAUAUAAAAGCAAUAAAAUUAGAAUAAGUAAAUAUAGAAUUAAGAAAUGAAAAAAAAAACUAAAUUAAACAUCUAUCUGAAAAAUGUAUAGUUAAAUAAAUAAUAACUAAAUACACAAUAUAAAAAAUAGAAAUAUUAUAUUAUACAAUUAUCGUAAUAUAAGAAAAAAUAAAUAUAAAAUAUAACAAAAAAAUAAAUAUUAAGUAGGGAAAUUGCCACAAAUAGCACAUUCAUAGUACCAUUUUUCAUGUUUACACUAACCACUUUUACCAUCACUUUUAAUGAAGGGUAAAAGACAAUUAUACCUUUCGGGUUAAUUAAUCUAGAUUUAGGGUUUAGAGUUGAGGGGUGGGGUAAGGUUUUUGGAAUGUGAAAUUUAGGAUUUUAAUAAAUAUAUAAAUAAAUACUUAAAAAAAUAUAAAAAAUAGUUUCAAACAUAAUUUUCGUUUUUCAAAAAGAAAUGUGAAGAAAAAAUAAAAAAAAAAUUCGAAAAAAAGUUUCAAAAAAAAAAAUUAUAAAAAAGUUCGAAUUUGAAAAAUUAUAAUUCAAAAACAAAAAAAAUUACUUUUUUUAAUUUAUUUUUUUAUUUAAAUAAUGAUUUAUUAUAUAUAUGAAUAACAAGGACAUAAGAGUCUUUUGCCACUUAAUGAAGAAAAUAUUUUUCAAAAUGUCUUUUUAGUGGUGGUAAAAAUGAAAAGUGGAAAACAUGUAAUUUUCCCUAUUAAGUAAAUAUAGUAUAUUAGAAAUAAAAAUAAUACAUUAAAUAUAUAUCGUAAUAUUAUCAUUGAUAUAAAAGCAAUAAAAUUUAGAAUAAAUUAAUAUAUAAAAUAAGAACGAUAAACAAUAAGCAAAUAUACAAUUUAAAAAUGGAAAAACUAAAUUAAACAUAUAUCUGAAAAAAUGUAUAGUUAAAUAAAUAAUAAGUAAAUAUCCAACAUAAAAAUAUUACAUUACACAUAUAUUAUAAUAUUAGAAUAAGUAAAUAUAAAAUAUAAAAAAAUGAAUAAUAAGUAAAUAUAUAAUAUAAGAAAUACAAAAAAUACAUUAGACAUCUAUCUAAAAAAUCUAUAAUAAAAUAAAUAAUAAGUAAAUAAAAAAUAUAAGAAAUAAAAAUAGUACAUUAAACAUAUAUCGUAAUAUUACAAUUUGAUAUAAAAUAAAAAUAGUUAGAUAAGUAAAUAUACAAUUAAAAAAGUAAAUACACAAGAUAAGAGACGAAACAACUACAUUAAACAUCUAUUUGAAAAAUGUAGAUUUUUACAUUUUUAUGACUUCCAAAUAUUUUUAUAAGUAAAUAUACAAUAUAAUAAAAAUAAGCAUACAAUAUAAGAAAUAUAAAUUUUACAUGAAGCAUCUAUUAUAAUAAUAUUGUUUGAUAUAAAAGCAAGAAAAUUAGAAUAAGUAAAUAUACAAUAUAAGAAAAAUAAAAAAAUAGGUAAAAUACAAUUAAUAAAUGAAAAAUCUAAAUUAAACAUCUCUCUAAAAAAUGUAUAGUAAAAUAAAUAAUAAAUUAGUAUACAAUAUAUUAAAUAGAAAUAUUAUAUUAAGCUUCUAUCGUAUUAUUAUAAUAAGUAAAUAUACUAUAUAAGGAAAAUAAAAACAAAUCUGAGAAACAUACAAUAAAAUAAAUUAUAAGUAAAUUUAUAAUAUAAGAAAUAUAAAUUUUACAUUAACAUUUAUAAAUAAUAUUAUCAUUUGAUACAAAAGUAAAAAAAAUAGAAUAAGUAAAUAUACAAUAUAAGAAAAAUAAACAAUAGGUAAAAUACAAUUAAGAAGUGCAAAAACUACAUUAAACAUCUAUCUCAAAAAGGUAUUGUUUUACAUUUUCAUUAUUUAAAAAUACAAUAAGUGAAUAUUAAUGCUAAAUAUUAUAAUAAGUAAUAUAAAAUAUAAGAAAGAAUAAAUAAUAAGUAAAUAUAAUAUAUAAGAAAUAAAAAAUAUUACAUUAAAUUCAUAUCGUAAUAUUAUCAUUGAUAUAAAAGCAAGAAAUUUAGAAUAAGUAAAUAAAAAAAUAAAAAAAAAGAUAAACAGUAAGUAAAUAUACAAUAUAAAACAAUGGAAAAACUAAAUUAAAUAUUUAUCUGAAAAAUAUAUAGUUAAAUGCAAAAAUGUAUAUUUUAAAUAAAUAAUAAGCAAAUAUACAGUAUAAGAAAUAUAAAUAUUACAUUAAACAUCUAUCGUAAUAUUAUCAUUUGAUUUAAAAACAAGAAAAUUAGAAUAAAUAAAUAUACAAUAUUGAAAAAUUCCCUUGGAUAGCCAUUUUUAAGUUUUUGCUACAAAAUAGCUAUAAAUGAGAAAAAUAAUCAAAAUAAGUCUUAUUAAAGAGUAAAAAUACAUUUAUACCCUAUGGUUAACUAACAUAGACUUAUGGUUUAGAGUUAAGGGGUGAGAUUUUGAGGAUAGGAUUUCAAAUUUUUAAAAAUAAAAAUUAAAAAACUAAAUUUCUUAAAAUAAAAGAGACUAUUUUGGUCACUUUUUUUAUUGAAUACUAUUUUGUGACAAAAAACUUAAAAGAUCUAUUUGAGAGAAUUGUCUUAUAAUAUAAGAAAAAAAUAAAUAAUAAGUAAAUAUACAAUACAAGAAAGGAAAAACUAUAUCAAACAUCUAUCUAAAAAAUGUAUAGUUUUCUGAUUUUUUCUAAAGAAAUAUGUAUUGACACAUACAUACAAUUCAGAAUUUGUUGUUGUUAAGAAUACAACGUUCAAAAAAUAACUAUAUGGUUAACAUUUGAAAAUAAAAAUAGCCCCGCACGUAGCGCGGAUUAACUCCUAGUCUUUAUAUAUAAAAGAUGUUUUGCUCUCUCCUGAGGCUGCCACCUAGGAUUCCACUUAGGAAAGUCGCUUCACGAGGAGUCAACACGUGUCCCGCCUGCUCAAAACACAGCGUUUCAUUAAAGGAAUCAGCGAUCCAUAUGGGCUAAGUUUGUGUGUGGGCUUUUUUUUUAAUUUGGCACAAGAAAAGCAGCCCGAUAGCAGUCAACCCUAAUAGCACAAUGUUCAUCAAAAACAUCCUUGUUUAAAACAGAUGGGGGUAUAACUUUAUUACAUUAUAUUAAGAAAACAAAGAAACUUGUCCUAUGAUAGCAUCAAAACUUGGAAAUGUGUAAUACAAAUAUGACAAUGGCCAGCCGAACAAAUUAGUUAGCAAGUCCUCUUCGUAGGGCACAAAAGCAUGUUUUUGAGAGUUCAGAGACUAAUCGAAACUGACACGACGCAUCUUACAAACAAGACUAGCCGUAGGGUAAUCAAGUUCACUACCAGCAUCUGAUUUCAUCACAUCUUUGAGCUCAUCUCUUGGUGUAGCCAAACACGUCUGGAAAGUUGCAAGCAUAGGCGGAAUCGGCAUGGACAAGGCUGCAAGCACAUUGCUCAAGUACUCUAUAUCUACACACAGUUGCUGUGCUCCUCGGUCUGAAAUGUAUUAGAUUCCUCUCAGUUGCUCCAUGUACAGAGCUGUUGCGCCUUCUGCUACCUUGAACAUCCACUCGGUUGCAAAGAACUGUGCGUCCUCGUUGUUUGAAUCACCAUUGGUGAGAUUCCUUCAGCUAGAAGCUCAAGUGCUGAGGUAAAGUCAGGAGAUAUUAUCCAACGCUUGUAACGUAAGCCUGAGGGUAUGAGCUGAAGUUUGGUAGAGCAAACGCAGUUUGUUCCUCCACAGGAAGACCAGAUGGUAGGCGAGAUACUUCCCCGAGUCUUUGCCUGACAUUUGAUAUGAGGAUUUCAUAUACAAGUUUGUUCACUGUGUCCGCAAACGCAGCUACUCUCUGAGAUGCCAAAGGCAGUGCGUGGAACCUUGGAUCUUUUGACUGCAAAAAAAAAAAAAACAGCAAAAGGAAAUGAUACAUAUGAACAGUGUAUAUUAAUUUAUGAAUCUUUGUCAAUAAGACUACCUGUUCCAAACAGGUUUAGGAGUUUGCGAAGCCUUCUCCGGGAACAUCAACCAACCGAAUAGCUGCCACAUCCAGGAAGCUCGUCCAGCCGUAGACAAAUCUCCAGCUGUUUUGUUCACUUGUCAAAUGUGACAGGUUCUGAUCCAGAUUUGUGCCAAAUAGUGAAAUAGACAAGCUGGAGUUUAGUCUAGCCAGAGUGGCUCUCAAAGAAGCUUCAAACACAGAAGACCUGCUCAAGUCAGCUUCUCACCGUCUUUAUAGGAGCUUUCGUCUAAUAUUUAAGCCUUCUGGUGUUGUCAAUCGAGAAAUGGUAACAUAAAACUGUCCAUGGGUAAAUACAGGCUGGGGAAGAUAUAAAGCUGACUUGCUUUAGGCUUUGGCCUUGACUUUUAUUAUGUCAUGGCAUAGCUAAGUCGGAUUGGUAUUGCCGUCUACGAAGUAAAAGGAAGUAUGCUGUCAGUUGGGCUUAGCUGUAUCCUAGGGAGUAAUAUUCGUUCACCAACUUCUGGUCCGGUCAUUUUUUUAUAAAAAAAAACAAAAAAAAAUCUGGUCCGGUCAAUAAUCUCCACUUCGACAAUCACCAAGCCAUGAUCCUGAUUAACGUUGCGCAGUGAAUUCAAAGGAGUAGCAUGAAUGUAGUUUACUCAAAACCGUGCCCAAACUGAUCCGAUCUAAUGUAUUUUAUAAAUUCCUUACUAACAUUUUUCUUGUAUUCCUCCUGUGUAUUAAAAUAAUUUAAAAAUAAAAUCUAAAAAAUUAAAACCCGGGUGGGAAUUAUUCAUACGUUAGUCUCCCAAUUAAUCUUGAAAUUUGAAUAGUUACAAAACAACUAAAAUUUAAUAAAUCAACAAUUCCAAUUUAGUUAUAUAAUUAUAACUUUAUUUUUCUUAAUCUUAGGAAAGAUUGUGAAUGAAUUUACUUAUUCCGUAGUCAUUUGUAUCUAAACCGAAAUAUAUAGUAAAAACUCUCAGUUGCUCCAUGUACAGAGCCGUUGCGCCUUCUGCUACCUUGAACAUCCACUCGGUUGCAAAGAACUGUGCGUCCUCGUUGUUUGAAUCACCAUUGGUUGAGAUUCCUUCAGCUAGAGGCUCAAGCUGCUGAGGUAAAGUCAGGAGAUAUUAUCCAACGCUUGUAACGUAAGCCUGAGGGUAUGAGCUGAAGUUUGGUAGAGCAAACGCAGUUUGUUCCUCCACAGAAGACCAGAUUGGUAGGCAAGAUACUUCCCCGAGUCUUUGCCUGACUUUUGAUAUGAGGAUGUCAUAUACAAGUUUGUUCACUGUGUCCUCAAACGCAGCUACUCUCUGAGAUGCCAAAGGCAGUGCGUGGAACUUUGGAUCUUUUGACUAAAAAAAAAAAAACAGCAAAGGAAAUGAUACAUAUGAACAGUGUAUAUUAAUUUAUGAAUCUUUGUCAAUUAAGACUACCUGUUCCAACAGGUUUAGGAGUUUGCGAGCCUUCUCCGGAACAUCAACCACCGAAUAGCUGCCACAUCCAGGGAAGCUCAUCCAGCCAUAGACAAAUCUCCAGCUGUUUGUUCACUUGUCAAAUGUGACAGGUUCUGAUCCAGGUUUGCAAAUAGUGCAAAUAGUGAAAUAGACAGCUGGAGUUGGAGUUUAGUCCAGAGUGGCUCUCAAAGAAGCUUCAAACACAGAAGACCUGCUCAAGUCAGCUUCUCACCGUCUUUAUAGGAGCUUUCGUCUAAUAUUUUAAGCCUUCUGGUGUUGUCAAUCGAGACAUGGUAACAUAAAACUGUCCAUGGGUAAAUACAGGCCGGGGAAGAUAUAAAGCUGACUUGCUUUAGGCUUUGGCCUUGACUUUUAUUUAUUGUCAUGGCAUAGCUAAGUCGGAUUGGGUAUUGCCGUCUACGAAGUUAAAAGGAUGUAUGCUGUCAGUGGGCUUAGCUGUAUCCUAGGGAGUAAUAUUCGUUCACCAACUUCUGGUCCGGUCAUUUUUAUCAAAAAAAACAAAAAAAAAAACUUCUGGUCCGGUCAUAAUCUCCACUUCGACAAUCACCAAGCCAUGAUCCUGAUUAACGUUGCGCAGUGAAUUCAAAGGAGUAGCAUGAAUGUAGUUUACUCAAACCGUGCCCAAACUGAUCCGAUUCGAUUGUAUUUUAUAAAUUCCUUACUAACAUUUUCUUGUAUUCCUCCUGUGUAUUAAAAUAAUUUAAAAUAAAAUCUAAAAAUUAAACCCGGGUGGAAUUUUUCAUACGUUAGUCUCCCAAUUAAUCUUGAAAUUUGAAUAGUUACAAAACAACUAAAAUUUUAAUAAAUCAACAAUUCCAAUUUAGUUAUAUAAUUAUAACUUUAUUUUUCUUAAUCUUAGGAAGAUUGUGAAUGAAUUUACUUGUUCCGUAGUCAUUUGUAUCUAAACCGAAACAUAUAGUAAAAAAAAACUAAAUAUUAGGAAUUAGUAAAUCAGAGUAUUUCGGUUGGAAUGUCACGUAAGAUGAUAACUCGAAUAAUACUGAAAGUCUGUAUAGUAACUAAUUAUUUAAAUAUUCUAUUAUAUCAUUACUCAAAAGUUAGUUAUAGGAUGACAAAAAGUUUCCUUUUAGUAUUGUUAUGAUUUCAACGUCAAAAGCCAAAAACGCAAAGGAGAAGCAUGAAUGGAGUUUACUCAACCCUGCAAAUCUGAUCCGAUCACAAUUCUAAUGGAUUUUCCACUUUUAUUUCAGUUAAAAGAAUUGAAAAAACUAUAUAAGAGGGAAUAAAUUGAAAUAGUUUUUUAUUAUUGACUGAAACAAAGAUAAUCAAAGGUGCGAAAGUACUGCAGAUAAAUAAGAAGUAUUUAAACUUGGAACAUGAAACCAUAACUGCUGGUAUCCACUUUCUUGGCCAUCUUGGUAGAUGAGUGGGUCCUCUUCUUCGCCGAAGCAUCGCCUGGUUUCGCAUCAGUAUUCUUAUCUGCAUCACUACUGCCUUCUCCAGUUUCAACACGAACAGGAACCAGACCACCAUCUGCCAUGUCAGCAUCAUCACCAUCGUUUCUCCCCUGAUACAUUCGGAAAGUGUUACAUACUAACAGACAUACAUAGAUAAUCAAAGGUUCGCAAAAUCACUCUUACCUUAACGACAAAGUCAGGAACUGGAACACGCUCAUGCUCCUUAAGGAUGCGGGUGAUGGUGAGGUCUAAUGGUGUGCAGUGAAGUUAAACGUGCUAACUCUGACCUGGAAGGUGAAUGUUUUUCCUUCCAUGUCUGUGAUAAACAGCGGCACCUAAGAGUCCUCAGGACUUACUCCUUCCUCAGCCUGUUCGUCAGAAUUAAAGCACCAUGUAUGUUAGCAUUUAUAUUUAAUAAUCCUUUAAGAAGACUAAUGCACAUCUUACCAACACUGACCGGCUUCACUUGCUCGGAGGUUAUGCAGCUUAGUCAUCACACCAUCAAAACACACGAAUGCACCUUCAACUGUGCUGUCAGCGAUUGCCAACUCCACAUGAUAACUGAUGGAGUUUACGGAAAAAAAUGAAGACGUCCAUGCCUCUCCAAGGAUAGAAAUUAACGCCCUACAAACUUUCAGUUCUGAAUUAUUGCCUAUACACUAUCUAGCCCUUGACUAAUUUGCCAAUAAUGAAUUCAAGAAUUUUAAUCAUAUUUUUCUUCCUCCCAACAAGCUAGGCAUUUCGAAUCGUGACUGUGACCAGUUUUCAAGUGCAUCACAUCCGUCUUCUCGAAGUGGACUUUUAUUUAGACGUCCGUGUGCUAUCACAUACGUGUUCCUGGAGCUUUGUUUUCAGAGUUUAACAUGUGUGUUAUAGGUUCUACGGCGUUACUUUUCUGAUUUUAUGAUAAAGAGGUUUAAGACAAAGAAUUUUUACAUAAACUUUGGUUAUGAUCUGGUAUCUGUAUCUAUUUAUUUCAAGUGUUUCCCUACAUGGAAUCACUUCCAAAACAAACAAACAAAAAUUAACUAUAUGAUUUCCCUACUUAUUUCUACCCAGAAACAAACUAAUAUCUUAAAACAUGAACGGUUGUUAUUGCAAAAAAAUCAAACAGAUUUAUUAGUUUGAUGGGAUUUAUUGUUUCAAACUCUAGCAUUUAUAAUAUAGAAUAAAUACUUUAAAAAAUAUAGUAGAUCAAGAUGAGAUGGUCAACAUUUUAAGGAAAACAAGUGAAGAAAGAUGACUGAAAAGAAUAAGAGAAAUUCUUGGGUUCACCCUCUAGGUGAAUCUAUAGGUUCACCAACCAAUGAAAAUUGGUUAUUUUAUAUACAAAUUUUUUCAAAAAAGGAAACAAAAUUUUUAAAAUUUAUUUUUUUAAAUAAAAGGAUAUAAAAUACAUAAAAAACGAAUAAUAACAAUAAAAGAUGAUUUUUUCAUAUUGUUAAAGCUGUCAUAUUAAACACUAAAUCCUAAACCCUAAACAUGAAACCCUAAACCCUUGGAUAAAUCCUAAACCCUUGGGUAAAGAGAUAUUCCAACGGUUAUGAGUUUAUCCAUGGGUUUAGGAUUUACCCAAGGGUUUAGUUUAGUUUAGGGUUUAGGGUUUAGGGUUUAGGGUUUAGGGUUAGUAUGAACGGCUUUAACAACAUUAAAAAAUUCUUUUCUUACAGCAGCUACUAUUUUUUAUUUAUUUUUUAUAUUUUACCUAAGAGUUUAGGAUUUAUCAAAGGGUUAGGGUUUAAGGUUUAGUGUUUAGGAUUUAUCAAAAUUUGUUUAUUACAAUUAAUAUUUUACCAUUAGAUAUAUUAAAAUAAUAUUCUAGAUCGAUAUUCAAUUUUCAGUUUUUAACUAUUACACGUAAAAAAUAUUAUUAAGUAUCUUUUUUUGAAAAGGGGGUUUUAUAUUUUAAGUAGGUUAUUGAAGUACUUUUUCUUUUUGUGAAUUUAUUUGAAAUGAGAUUUCGAUCUUUUAAACUACGAUAAUUUAUGUUCUAUACAUAAUUAUAUAUUAUUUACGUAACUCUAAAAUCUCGGACUUGAUUCUUCAUAUUUUAUUAGUUAAUUGUGUUACAUAUACUAGAAAUACUUACUUCAAACUUAAAAUAUAAAAAAAAUCAAAUUUAAAAUUAAUUAGUUAUAUAAUUUAAUAUACAAGAAUUUACAUACAAAUAAAAAUGAUAAAUGUAAUAAAUUUAAAUAUAUUAUCCGCGCGUAGCGCGGAGAAGGAUCUAGUUUAAAUGAUGACUAAAUAACAAAAAAGUUAAUAACAAAUCUAUGUUUUUAGUUUUAUUUUUUCCUUUAAGUCUUGUUUAUUGAAGUUUGAUUAGUUAUCGUUAUCUUUUAUUCAUUCCAUAUUAAAUAAUGAAAUAUUUAAGAUCUAGUUUUUUUUGUUUUAAAAUAAUUCUACAAGUUUUAUACACUUGGAUAUCAAGUUAACAACAAUGAAAAAUUAGUCCCAAAGAGUUAAAAAAGUUAUGGGCCCAUACAUAUGAAUAGUAGGAAUGGGUCCAAGACCGGCACUGAUUGACCCAACUGCCUCCUUGGAUCUUGGACCUGCUCAUUAAACCUCUGAGUGUUAUUUCUUGUGAGAGAAUUUCUGCCAUAAAUAGAGAUAGUCAUAUCAUUAUUAGAUCAUACUAUGAAGGCAUAUGUGAAAUUAAGAGCGGGUGGUUUUCAGAUAACUAUGGUUAAUGUAAGUUUCUUAAGAAUCAAAGCAACUAAAGAGAAGUGAAUCGGAUAAAUGUAAAAUAGGUUUGCGAGUUUGUAAUAGUUUCCUAAUUUCUAUUUCUUUACCACACAAACGAUGCAUUGAUUGUAAAAAUAGGCUUUUGUGAUUAAUAAAUUUAACAUUUAUUCCAAAAAAAAGUGAAACGGAUAAAGACAAACCUUUUCUUGCACAUACUCUUUGUCGUGGUGGUAUAUGAUGUUGCUCUUUAUCUGACUGAAUCAAGGAAGGAACGACUAGCUUCAAUUUCAGUCUCAAGUUGCUCGUUUGGAAACAACAAGCUAUACUUAGAUAAAUCGUCAUAUUUAACUGGAUUAUCAUUGGCAUGCACGUCAAACUAUAGGUACAUUAAUUUUCAUAAAGUUGAUAUGGAGAAGUUUUUUUCAUCGUUUAUUUUAUGAUGCUUAAACUUUAAAUUCACAUGUACAUUUAUUUAUUCUCAUUCUUGAUUUCCCUCGAACGCUGGAUCUUUUUAGCUUGCUACGGAUUUUCUUGUCUCUGACUAAACGGGUGUUAUGAAAAUAGUAAACCUAUUCUAAAAUACGAUAAUAAAUAACCAUUAGACUUAAUAAUUAGAACAACAAAUAUAUUUAAUAUACUACCACAACAAAAUAUAUAGUCUAGUCAACAUUUUUAUUCCUAGACUACUAAUUGAGAUAUAUUCAAAAUUAAUGGUAAUUGAACAAUUUCCAAAAUAUUACAGUCAAAUUAUUUUUUACCAUACUACUAUAUGAAAUAUGUUGAAAAUUAAUGGUAAUUGAAUACAUUCCUAACGUUGUCCAUUUGUGUUCUUGACUCUUCCUCUCAACUAUCUGUAUAUAUAAGAUUACAAGUGCAUGACUAUAUUUCAACAUCACAAAACAAAUAAAAGAUAAAACUAAAAGCGACAGCCAUGGGAACACCAAAACUGAAGUUGGCUGUCGAGGAGUUGGAGAUGGAUCAUCUCAUGCUCCAGAUCCAAAAUGGUAGAAUGCUUGAUGACCUUCUCAAACCGAGACUGAGAAGUUAAAGUCAUAUGCAAGUAAGAAGUUCCAAACUCUUAUGGGUGAGAUCCCAAAGGCACCAUUCCCAAUGAUACAGGGGGGAAGUGUCUAUUUGAUGGAUAAGUGGAUCAAGGAUCCAUCUGAUAAGGAGGAUGAGAUGAAGAGACCUGUGAAGGAGAGAGCAGCAAGUCUGGUGGUGCGGACGAUGCCUAAUGAAGCAGCUAGCCGUCGAAUAAUAAAAUUAAUGUGUCUUGGAAUAAAGUUGUUAUUGUUGUGUCUUUGCAUUCUCGUUUCAUAUUUCUAGUUUUUGUUGCUUUGGUCAUGUUCCUGUUUGUUUCUUGUGUGUCUUAAACAUGUGUCUUUGUUUGCAUAUGUUAAUCUAAAUAAUGCAAUGUUUUCCCUUGCAAUCAUUAAGAGCUCAUCCCGUAUUUAACACUGUUUUUCUAGAGCUCAACAUAAAGCAAAUUGUUUGAGAACAAUAAGCAAUAUAUAUACACAUUAAUUUCAUGAAUAGUUUGUAUGGAAAAGUUUUUCUCAUCGUUUCUUGUAUGAUGCUUAAACCUUAAAUUCACACGUAAUAUUUAUUAUGUCUUUCUUGAUUUUCCCUCGAACGCUGGAUCUUUGGCUGCUUACUACGUAGCAUUUUUUUUUCUUUUUAGCAUUUACAUUAAGACUACAAUUACUCAGUAUCUACAAUUUCAAGAGAUUUGUUUUAGAGUGUGUGUGUCCUAUUUUUUGCAGACGCUGGUCUUCCUAGGGAUGGCAAUUGGUACCACCCGCCCCGCUGCGGUCUCUAUCUCAUGUGGAUCUUUGCGGGUCAGCCCGCCAUGACCCGCGGUACCCAAACCCGCGGGUAGUAAAAAAGAUGAUGUUUCGUUGUGGUGAGAAGAUUAUGUUUCCACAUGUUUUCUUGAACGAGGACGGCUCUCAACUCAAUACUGUAACUUAAUAACAGCAUGUGCACUACUAGGACUAACAGAAACGAAGCAAGCAAACAAACUUCUUCCAUAUAAAGUAGGGACUUAACAGAAACGCAUCAUUGCCCACAGAGAAAGGAAGGUAAAUUCUAUCUCCUACAUUCAAGGACUCCUUGGCUGCCACCUUCAAACAGACAACAUCAGCUUCUUAAAAAACCAGUUCUUGUCCUAACCAAGAAUUAACAGAAGAGCUAUUUACCCUUUUAAGUUGGCUUCUUUGUAGUUCAUCACCGUCAUAAGUCACAUGCCUUCUCUUUUUUAACCUGAAAAACAUUUACAAAUCUCUUAAUCAUGUAACUUAAUGGUUCGAUUCGAAUCAUCAAAAUAAAAUAUUUUAGCUGAAGAGAUCACGGACCUGUCUUAAACGAAAGAGUUUCUGUACGAGGUUUCUAGGUAAGUCCAGACGAAGAAAAUCCACCUCAGCUCCGGUGGUGGGAUCUCCAAGAAGAGAAGCUAUGGGGGUGGAAAGAAAAAGGGAGAGAAGCUUCACUGGUGGUUCGUAAAUUCUAUCUCCUACAUUCAAGGACUCCUUGGCUGCCACCUUCUUAAAAAACAGUUCUUGUCCUAACCAAGAAUUAACAGAAGAGCUAUUUACCCUUUUAAGUUGGCUUCUUUGUAGUUCAUCACCGUCACAAGUCACAUGCCCUUCUCUUUUUUUAACCUGAAACACAUUUACAAAUCUCUUAAUCAUGUAACUCAAUGGUUCGAUCGAAUCAUCAAAAUAAAAUAUUUUAGCUGAAGAGAUCACGGACCUGUCUUAAACGAAAGAGUUUCUGUACGAGGGUUUCUAGGUAAGUCCAGACGAAGAAUCCACCUCAGCUCCGGUGGUGGGAUCUCCAAGAAGAGAAGCUAUGGGGGUGGAAAGAAAACGGAGAGAAGCUUCACUGGUGGUUCGACGAAGAAGAGAAGCUCCGGUGGUGGCCUUAAUCAAAGAAAAGAAGAACCGGUUGGUGGUGAUGCUCCUCUGGUGCUCGACGGUGACUCGGUGGAGUCGUGGAGAACAUGAAUCGCCAUUUUUGUGAUCUCUCUUUUUUUUUUUCAGGUGGAAACAAAACAAAACAGGAAGUGGUGCGGGUUCUUUCUGCCCCGCAAGACCCGCGAUAGUCCAAACCGCAAAGGCCCAAACCCACAUGAGACUUAACCCGUGACACCCGCUCACAAAUGGGCCUCAAUAUCUCUACCCAAACCCGCCCCGCAUGGGUAUUCUACGGGCCCAGCCCGUGGGCUGCGGUUUCUUUGCCAUUCCUAGUCUUCCCAUAAGUGUCCAAGUUAUUCACUCCCACCCAUUAGUCCAACGCUUUCAGUGUAAUGAUAAAGGAAAGCCAAAGUGGAGAGGGAUAGAGAGAGUAGAAUUACACCCCAAAGAUUCCAAUAGCAUUAAUCUUCUUAAUCGCUUCCCUCAUCGCAAAACCUUCUGCCAUUAGUGGUGACAUAACAAAGUUAGUGGAGAUUGAAAAUCUCUGAGUCUCUCUUGAAGUUUUGAUAGUCCAUCCCAGUCUAGCAGCCCCUGAUGUUUCAGUCUUGAAGCACGAUUUAGAAUAUGUUUUUAAUAGGAAAGAAAUAAACCACAUGUGGAACAUGUGCUAGGGGAAAACAAUGUCCCUGUAAAAAUGGACUAGACACCACGUAGUGGCAGCUGAUCAAGCUCAGUUACUAGCUCCGUCAACUUAACCUGAUUUUCAUUCCUGCAUUGAACCAACUGCCUCCUUAGAUCUUGGACCUGGUAAUUAAGCCUUUGAAUCUUAUUUUCUUGUGAGAAAAUUCUCUGCCAUAAAUAGAGAUAGUCAUAUCAUUAUUAGAUCAUACUAUGAAGGCAUAUGUGAAACUAAGAGUGGGUGGUUUUCAGAUAACUAUGGUUAAUGUAAGUUUCCUCAGAAUCAAAGCAGCUAAAGAGAAGUGAAACGGAUAAAGACAAACCUUUUCUUGCACAGACUCUUUGCCAUGUAGUAUAUGAUGUUGCUCUUAAUCUGAUUGAAUCAAGGAACGACUAAAGUUUUCUUAUAUGGAGAAGUUUUCUUCAUCGUUUAUUGCCAUUCUUGAUUUCCCUCGAACGCUGGAUCUUUCGUUGCUUGCUACGGAUUUUCUUGUCUCUGACUAAACGUGCGUGUUAUGAAAAUAGUAACCUACUAGGCAGUAACUCGCGAUGUGAGCGGAGUAAAAUAGUUUAUUAGAUUAUUUAUAGUAUGUUGUACUAAAAGAUUUGUCAUAUAGCUUUUUGUGGAAUAAAUAUUCAUAUAUAUGUUCGAAUUCAGUUGAUCUAUCGGGAUUUCACACUUUUAGAGUUAGAUAUUUAAAUCUUAUUCAGAUAUUUACAAAUUUUGGUUUAGAUUUGGUUUCGAAUCUUUGCGGGUUCAGUUUGGAUUCGAGUUCGGAUAUCCAUUUUAAUCAGGUAUUUUUUAACAAAAAUAUAAAUAUACUUAAAUACUCAAAAUCCAAAAAUAAAAUAAUACAAAACAUAAAAAAAUUAAUAAUGUAAGACUAACUAUUUAAAUUUACAUAAAAAAUCAUUCAAUUUAAAUAUUUGGAUGGAGAACUAAUAAAUAUUAUCAGUAUUUUUAACAUUUACUGUUAUUUUUAGAUAUUUACUUGUGUCUAUGUUGAUAAUUUUGAGAUACUUUCAUAUUUUUGAAUAUCUACUGAAUAUAAAAUUUAAAAUAAUUAAUAUAUUUAAAUAUAUAAUUGAGAUUUAGAUAUUUUGGUAUCCAAAAUAUUUUAUUUUGGAUUAGAUUCGAUUCUGGUUAUCUAGAUAUUAAACUUUUAAUCCAUCUGAAUAUACUGAAUCAUUUUAGUUUGUGUUUAGUAUUACUUUCAAAUCUAGUUCGAUUCAGUUUCAGAUCCAGAUGAGUUAAUCAAAUAAAUAGUGUGUGAACACAUUAAAUUAUUUGCGGUAGAGUUAAAAAAUUAGUGUGUGAAUGCAUUAAUUGUUAAAUGAUUGUGAGGCCGACACGUCAGCAUACUCAAAUUGAAAUCAAUGUGAAGCUAUAACAUAGAAAAUAUAGUGUGAACACAUUAAUUACAAAUGUUUCUCUUUUAAUAUAUAGGAGAUACUAAAAUACGAUAAUAAAAAAAUAGACUUAAUAAUUAGAAAAACCAAUAUAUUUAAUAUACUACCACAACAAAAUAUUUAGGGUCAAACUGGUAACCACUAUAGGAACACUAGGAAUGAGUAGGAGAAAAAUGUAGAGAAAUAAAAUUAUAGGAAGAAAAGAAAGAUUAUUCCUUACCGAUUUUAAUGAGAAACAAAUUUGUUCUAUAUUCCUCUAGAAUAAAAGGAAUGAGAAGAAUAAAAAAGAAAAAAUAUUUCUUAUAAAUGGUAAAAAUAAUUAGAAAUAGUAAUAAAUUCAUCAUUCCCUUUCAUUCAGUGGUCACCAGUUAGACCCUCAGUAUAGUCAAACUUUUUCUUCCUAGACUACUAAUUUGAGAUAUAUUCAAAAUUAAUGGUAAUUGAACAAUUACUAAAAUAGUACAGUCAAAUUAUUAUUUACCAUACUACUAUAUGAAAUAUGUUGAAAUUUAAUGGUAAUUAAAUACCUUCCCAAAGUAGUCCAUUUUGUGUUCUUGACUCUUCCUCUCGACUCUCUCUAUAUAUAUAAGAUUGCAAGUGCAUGACUAUAUUUCAACAUCACAAAUAAAAGAUAGAACUAAAAGCGACAGCCAUGGGAAGACCAAAAGUGAAGUUGGCUUGGGUCGAGGAACGAAAGAGAAGAGCUACUGUUUGCCAGCGGAGAAUGAAAGAAUUGAUUCAAAUGGCUGAAGAACUAACCAUCGUUUGUGAUAUGAGUGCAUGUUUGGUCUUUUACAACCGUAAAAAUGGUAAGCUGGUGGCGUGGCCAUCUCUGGAGGAGGCUCAAUCUCUCAUCGACUGCUAUAACGCAUUACCGGAAACCGAGAGGAACAUGAAGGCGGAUGAUGAAGAGUCAUCAUUCAUCAAGACCAUUACCAAGGAGAUCGAGAAGAAACUAGAGCUUUCUCGGAAGGCUAUCGAGGAGUUGAAGAUGGAUAAUCUCAUGCUCCAAAUCAAAAAUGGUAGUAGAAUGAUUGCUGAUCUUUCUCAAACCGAGAUUGAGAAGUUAAAGUCAUAUACAAGUAAGAAAAUUGUGUAUUAUGAUAGAAAGUUACGUAAGCAACAUCCGAAUACGAGUGGCAAUGAGCCAUUUCUUGAGGAUGACGAUGGGGAGAUGAAGAUCUAUGAAGGAGAGAGCAGCGAGUCUGAUGGUGCGGACAAUGCCUAAUGAAGCAGCUAGCCGUCGAAUAAUAAAAUUAAUGUGUCUUGGAAUAAAGUUGUUACUGUUGUGUCUUUGCAUUCUCGUUUCAUAUUUCUAGUUUUUGUUGCUUUGGUCAUGUUUCUUGUUUUUUUUUUUGUUUUUGUUUCUUGUUGUGUCUUAAACUUGUGUCUUUGUUUGCAUAUGUUAACCUAAAUUAAUGCAAUGUUUUCCCUUUCAAUCAUUGAAGAGCUCAUCUCGUAUGUAACACUAUAUGUUUUCUAGGGUUCAACAUAGCAAAUUCUUUAAGAAUAAGCUAUAUUUUGAUAAAGCAUCGUAUUUAACUGAGAUUAUCAUUGGCAUGCAUGUCAAACUAUAGGUACAUUAAUUUUCAUGAAUAAUUUGAUAUGGAAAAAGUUUCCCCAACGUUUCUUUUAUGAUGCUUAAACCUUAAUUUCACACGUAAGAUUCAUUGUUGUCUUUCUUGAUUUUCCCCGACCGCUGGAUCUUUGGUUGCUUGCUACGUAGUAAAACUUUUUUAGCAUAUACAUGAAGAAUACAAAUUACUCAGUAACUACAAUUUCAAGAGAUUUGUUUAAGUGUGUGUCAUGUCCAAGUUAUUGACUUCACUCAUUAGUCCAACGCUUUCAGUGUAAUGAUAAAUGAAACCAACGAGAAGAGAGAUAGAGAGAGAGUAUAAUUACACCCCAAGAUUCCAAUAGCAUUCUUAGCUACACAUACUUGAUGUAGUACACCUAUAAGGACCACUCUUCUUUAAGGUAAAAGGUCGAGACAGCAAGCAAGCACUCAAGAAAAAAGUAUGCAUGUGGCUCUGAUCAAUAGGUAUGAUAUUCAUAUGGAAAAUUCAUUUUGAUAACCCUGGACCAGAUAUUAAUUUAGAAACCAUGCUGCCAUAUUCUGUCAAUCAUAUCCAAUAAGAUCAAUAUCUCAUAGUGCAUCAAAUUAGUUGGCAAUUGAUUCUAGCCAUCAAAUAGGUAAUUCUUGAAGCAUGAUUUUUUUUUUGGAAAGUAACUUCAUUGAUUAAAAACAAAACUGAUUAAAUCCGUUGUUACAUGGCGUAAGGCCUCCUUAGCUAAGAAAUCAGCAUCAUAAUUCCUCUCUCGAGGAAUCCAACAGAAAGAAAUAGCAUCAAAAGAGCUAGCAUCUAUUCUAAUAUCUGAGAUUAUCCCACAAAUCUCCAAAGGCUCAGUAGAUAUUAAUUAAGUGCUUUGAUCAGCUGUGAGGAGUCUGAUUCGCAUCUUAGUCACCGGAUCCCCAGUUCCUUACUCUUCCUAAUCGCUUCCCUCAUCGCUAAACCUUCUGCCAUAAGUGGUGACAUAACAAAGUUAGUGGAGCUUGAAAAUCUCUGAGUUUCUCUUGAAGUUUUGUUAGUCCAUCCCAGUCCGGCAGCCCCUGAUGUCUCAGUCUUGAAGCAUUAUGAUUUAACAUAUGUUUUUAACUGGAAAGAAAUAAACCACAUGUGGAACAUGUGCUAGGGAAAAAUAAUAUGCCUGUAAAAAUGGACUAGAGACAACUUAGUGGCAGCUGAUCAAGCUCAGUUACUAGCUCCGUCAACUCAACCUGAUUUUCAUUCCUGCAUUGAACCAACUGCCUCUUUAGAUCUUUAACCUGCUCAUUAAACCUCUGAAUCUUAUUUUCUUGUGAGAGAAUUUUCUACCAUAAAUAGAGAUAGUCAUAUCAUUAUUAGAUCAUACUAUGAAGGCAUAUGUGAAAUUAAGAGCGGGUGGUUUUCAGAUAACUAUGCUUAAUGUAAGUUUCUUAAGAAUCAAAGCAAUAAAGAGAACUGAAUCGGAUAAAUUUAAAAUAGGUUUGUGAGUUUGUAAUAGUUUCCUAGUUUCUAUUUCUUUUCCACACAAACGAUGCAUUGAUUGUAAAAUAGGUUUUUGUGAUGAAUAAAUUUAACAUUCAUUCAAAAAAAAAAGUGAAGCGGAAAAAGACAAACCUUUUCUUGCACAGACUCUUCGCUGUAUGGUAUAUGAUGUUGCUCUGUAUCUGACUGAAUCAAGGAACGACUAGCUUCAAUUUCAGUCUCAAGUUGCUCGUUUGGAAACAACAAGCUAUACUUAGAUAAAUCGUCAUAUUUAACUGGAUUAUCAUUGGCAUACACGUCAAGCUAUAGGUACAUUAAUUUUCAUAAAGUUGAUGUGGAGAAGUUUUCUUUAUCGUUUAUUUUAUGAUGCUUAAACUUUAAAUUCACACGUACAUUUAUUUAUUGUCUUUCUUGAUUUCCCUCGAAUGUUGGGUCUUUCGUAGCUUGGUACGGAUUUUCUUGUCUCUGACUAAACAUGGGUGUUAUGAAAAUAGUAAACCUAUACUAAAAUACGAUAAUAAAUAAACAUUAGACUUAAUAAUUAGAACAACAAAUAUAUUUAAUAUACUACCACAACAAAAAAUGCAAGAGACGAUGUUAUGAUAUAUGUUUCAGUUUGAAAUGCAAGAAACAAAAAUGCAAGAGACAAAAAUGCAACAAAAUGGCAUCAUAAUGGUAAUUGAAUACAUUCCUAACGUUGUCCAUUUUGUGUUCUUGACUCUUCCUCUCAACUAUCUGUAUAUAUAAGAUUACAAGUGCAUGACUAUAUUUCAACAUCACAAACAAAAGAUAGAACUAAAAGCGACAGCCAUGGGAACACCAAAACUGAAACAUAUAUAUAACUAGAGUCGGCCCGCCCUUCGGGCAGGAUAUAUUUUACUUGUAAUCUAGAUUAUUAUUUUUUGUAUGAUUUUUUUGUGUCUAGGAUAGAAAUUAACGCCCUACAAACUUUCAGUUUUGAAUUAUUGCCUAUACACUAUCUAGCCCUUGAGUAAUUUGCCAAUAAUGAUUUCAAUAAUUUUAAUCAUAUUUUUCUUCCUCCCAACAAGCUAGGCAUUUCGAAUCGUGACUGUGACCAGUUUUACAAGUGCAUCACAUCCGUCUUCUCGAAGUCCAUGCCUCUCCACAUUUGCCUUGGAUAACUACCUCAAUUUUUCCGUUGUAGAAGACGCUCUGGUAUGGAUUCCUUCCACGGCGAAGAUGACAUAACCCACCAGAUCAAAUAUUCCAGGCUCGGCAACAGGGAGGAGUUUGAUCAAUUGCUCUGGUAUGGCUACGCUUUCCAUUUUCCAGUUUUUCUGUAUACCACUCUCUCCUGCCGUGAACCACAAAACAUAUCACUCAACCUGAACAACAUUAAAAAGCUGAACUUUAAAACACAUCGAAAGAUCACUCCUUCUCUACACAGCUAAAUUCAGAAACAUUGGAUAAAACAGUAAACUUUACAAUUUAAAACGAAGUUUGUCUCCUAAAGAAAGCUAUUAAGUAAACAGAAUAAGAUUCAACUUUCAUGGCAAAUCCUUUCCAUCCACUUCAUCUACCAAAAAAAGAGAAAAUAUCAGAAUCAAACUUCUUGGCAAAUCCUUACCAUGGUCUUUUUCUAGCCUAUAUAAACUAUAUAUAACCCAUCAUCUUCAAAUCACAAACCUACAAAAAUAGAAAUAAUAUUCAUCAAGAGUUUCAACUAAGAGCAAAAUUCAGAUCUAAUAAAACUCAAACAAAACCCAGAUUUGUCUAUUCGACGGUGGUAAUCCUCCAUACAGCCUCUCCUCUCUUCCUCCACACUCCUCUCUGCUCCUCUACACCGUAUCGAUCCUCUGGUUCGUCUUCACACUUCGAUUAUUCAAACUUCACUAAAAUCAAAGCCACACAGAAGAGAUGAUGAGAAAGUAAAUAAUUUGUAGAUCUAAAAAGGAGGAGGGGAUUCAUUACCAUUAAUUGAUAGAAACGGUAGUGGAGAUGGAGAGACAUGAGAAGAGAUCUCCUGAUGCUGGAGAGACAUGGAGCAGAGAUCUGAGGGAAUAGAAGAACAGACGUGGAGAGCGAGAGAGAGAGACGGGAAGAGUAGAGACGUAAUAGCCGGAGAGGAGCGGAGCUGUCACGAAGUAGGAGAGGAGGCAUCACGGUGCUUAAUAACUUCACGUAGGAGAGAGGCAGAGGAGGAGAGGAGGCGUCACAAAGUUAUGAUCUGUAACUUAAAUGAAAUGCUAGUUUUUGGGAUAGUUGGACACGUGUCGUGCUCACAAAGCUCGACUUAUCUAGGUGGAAUCCUAGGUGUCCUAAGGAGAAGAGAACAAACUGUUUCUUUAUAUAUAAAAGAGUGUUUUGCUCUCUCCUGAGGCUGCCACCUAGGAUUCCACUUAGGAAAGUCGCUUCACGAGGAGUCAACACGUGUCCCGCCUCCUCGAAACAUAGCGUUUCAUUAAAGGAAUCAGCGAUCCAUAUGGGCUAAGUUUGUGAAUGGGCUUUUCCGCGAAAACCUAAAAACUAUUUUUUUACGCCAAAACCUCAAAAAUGCAUUUUCCCGCCAAAAUUGCAAAAACGUGUUUUUCCGCAAAAACCGAAAACAUGUUUUCAUGCCAAAAUCACAAAAAAACUUGUUUUCACGCCAACACUCCAAAACACAUUUUUCGGCCAAAACACAAAAACAAGUUUUUCCACCAAAAUUGCAAAAACCGUGUUUUCCCGCCAAAAAAAAAAAAAAAGUGUUUUCCUGCUAAAACCGAAAAUCUCGUUUUCCCACCAAAGCUGAAAAAUCUCAUUUUCCCACCAAACCGGAAAAUCUUGUUUCCCGCAAAAACCGCAAAAUACACAAAAAGGCGUUUUCUUGCCAAAAACGUGUUUUCCCGCUAAAACCGCAAAAACAAGUUUUCCCCGCCAAAAACGCGUUUUUCCAGCCAAAACCGCAAAAACGCGUUUUACCGCCAAUAACGAAAUAUCUCAUUUUCUCGUCAAAACCGAAAAAUUUUAUUUUCCCGCGAAAAUCGCAGAAACGUGUUUCCCUCCAAAACCGCAAAAACGCGUUUUCCUGCCAAAAACGUGUUUUUCCGCCAAAACCGCAAAAACGUGUUUUCUCACCAAAAUUGAAAAUUUGUAUUUUCCCGCCAAAACCAAAAAAAAUCUCGUUUUCCCGCCAGAACCGAAAAAAUCUUGUUUUCUCGCCAAAAUCGAAAAAUGUGUUUUCUCGCUAAAACCAAAAAAUCUUUUUUUCCCGCCCAAACCGCAAAAAGAAAACUCAUUAAUUUUGAAAUAAUUCUAAUGUAAAUAUAUUAAACUAAAUAAUUAAAUGUAAUAUAGUUAAAAUUAAUAUAAAACAUAUGAUUAAGUCAACACAAGAGUAUUUUUAUAAUUUGUUUACUAAAAUCAUUUGAAUGGAAAUGAAAAUAAAAAAAACAAACAUAAGAUCCAUUUAGAUGAUUCAUCUAUAUGAGCUAUGUGGAUGGACAAACAAAUAAUCACAAAAAUCUGAAUGAAUCGUUUGAAUAGAUCAUACAAAUGAAUCAUUUGGAUGGAGAUGAUAAAUGGUGAAACAAACAGCCCCUAUGUUAUUACAAAAUGGGUGGAGAAUAUUAACAAUUCUAUGAAUAGUUCCAUUGUAUUUUGAGCAUCCUUAAUAUCAUUUGAUUUAACAUACAUAAAAUAAAAAGAUUUCACAAUACAAAAGACACUUUUUAAGAGAAAAAUUAUACUAAUAAAAGGAAGCUUUUGAGGCUCCAUAGGGGGUCCACAUCAGCGGUAAAAAAUUCUUCUAAAAAAUGACAUUUGGCAUUAACAAAAAAUAAAAAAUAAAUAUACAUAGAAAGAAAAAUAAAUAAUAAGUAAAUAUACAACAUAAGAAAUAGAAAUAUUACAUUAAACAUUUAUAGGUAAAUAUACAAUAUAAGGAAAAAUAAAUGAAAAGUAAAUAUACAUUAUAAGAAAUAAAAAUAUUACAUUAAACAUCUAUAAUAAUUUAUCAUCUAAUAUAAAAGCAAGAAAACUAGAAUAAGUAAAUAUAUAAUAAAAAAAUAAAAAAAUUAUAUUAAUCAUCUAUCUGAAAAAUAUAUCUAUACUAAUAAAAUGGAGCUUUUGAGGCUCAAUAGAGCGUCCACAUCAGCGAAAAAAAAAUAUUUUGUGAAAGAUGACACGUGUCAUUAGUAAAAAAUAAAAAAUAAAUAUACAUAUAAAGAAAAAUAAAUAAUAAGUAAAUAUACAAUAUAAAAAAUAAAAUUAUUACAUUAAACAAUAAUAAGUGAGGCUCCAUAGGGCGUCGACAUCAGCGGUAAAAAUGUUUUCU